GAUGAACGCUGGCGGCGUGCCUAAUACAUGCAAGUCGAGCGAACGGACGAGAAGCUUGCUUCUCUGAUGUUAGCGGCGGACGGGUGAGUAACACGUGGAUAACCUACCUAUAAGACUGGGAUAACUUCGGGAAACCGGAGCUAAUACCGGAUAAUAUUUUGAACCGCAUGGUUCAAAAGUGAAAGACGGUCUUGCUGUCACUUAUAGAUGGAUCCGCGCUGCAUUAGCUAGUUGGUAAGGUAACGGCUUACCAAGGCAACGAUGCAUAGCCGACCUGAGAGGGUGAUCGGCCACACUGGAACUGAGACACGGUCCAGACUCCUACGGGAGGCAGCAGUAGGGAAUCUUCCGCAAUGGGCGAAAGCCUGACGGAGCAACGCCGCGUGAGUGAUGAAGGUCUUCGGAUCGUAAAACUCUAUUAUUAGGGAAGAACAUAUGUGUAAGUAACUGUGCACAUCUUGACGGUACCCAAUCAGAAAGCCACGGCUAACUACGUG
rnacentral:rRNA from 1 species